rnacentral:rRNA from 1 species
UACGUAGGUUGCAAGCGUUGUCCGGAAUUAUUGGGCGUAAAGCGCGCGCAGGCGGUCCUUUACGUCUGCUGUGAAAGCCCGCGGCUCAACCGUGGAGGGUCAUUGGAAACUGGAGGACUUGAGUACAGAAGAGGAAAGCGGAAUUCCACGUGUAGCGGUGAAAUGCGUAGAGAUGUGGAGGAACACCAGUGGCGAAGGCGGCUUUCUGGUCUGUAACUGACGCUGAGGCGCGAAAGCGUGGGGAGCAAACAGG